ACAUGCGUAGCCCUGCCCCUCUCAGCCCCACGCACCAGCGUUUCUUGUCACGUGGUGCUAUGGCCACGUCCUGGAGCGUUAGAUUACGAUAGAGUGACUGCCGAAGGCUGCGGAAAGGUGCUGCCUAGAGGGGAUGCAGAUUCCUGACUGAGCUCAGCACUGGUCUUUCCGGUCACGUGCUUUACGGAGCAGCUGCUAGACGCGUUAUUGCUAGGCAACGCUUGCAGGAGCCUAUGCUGGAUCCCUGUAGAGUAGGAUCUGGGCACCGCGGGCCGACAUGGACCAGUAUUGCAUCCUCGGUCGCAUCGGGGAGGGCGCCCACGGCAUCGUCUUCAAAGCCAAGCACGUAGAGACUGGCGAGAUCGUUGCCCUCAAGAAGGUGGCCUUGCGGCGGCUGGAGGAUGGUAUUCCUAACCAGGCCCUCAGAGAAAUCAAGGCUCUGCAGGAGAUAGAGGACAGUCAAUAUGUGGUGCAGCUGAAGGCUGUGUUCCCACAUGGUGCGGGCUUUGUGCUGGCUUUCGAAUUUAUGCUGUCGGACCUGGCAGAGGUGGUGCGCCAUGCCCAGAGGCCCCUGGCCCCAGCACAAGUCAAGAGCUACCUGCAGAUGCUGCUCAAAGGUGUUGCGUUUUGCCAUGCCAACAACAUUGUGCAUCGGGACCUGAAGCCUGCUAACCUGCUCAUCAGUGCCUCAGGCCAGCUCAAGAUAGCUGACUUUGGCCUGGCCCGGGUCUUCUCUCCGGAUGGUGGUCGCCUCUACACACAUCAGGUGGCCACCAGGUAGUGGGGCUCUAUCCCUGCCAGCCCUCUCACUGGGGAAGAGAUACGUCUGCACCUUCUGUCCAGGUGGUACCGAGCUCCUGAACUCCUGUAUGGCGCUCGGCAGUAUGACCAGGGCGUUGACCUAUGGGCUGUGGGCUGCAUCAUGGGAGAGCUGUUGAAUGGGUCCCCCCUGUUCCCGGGCGAAAACGACAUUGAACAACUGUGCUGUGUGCUUCGCAUCCUGGGUACCCCGAGUCCUCGAGUCUGGCCGGAGAUCACAGAGCUGCCUGACUACAACAAGAUCUCCUUCAAGGAGCAGGCACCAGUGCCCCUGGAGGAGGUGCUGCCUGAUGCCUCUCCCCAGGCCUUGGACCUGCUGGGCCAGUUCCUCCUCUACCCUCCACGACAGCGUAUUGCAGCCUCCCAGGCCCUUCUGCAUCAGUACUUCUUCACAGCGCCUCUGCCUGCCCAUCCAUCCGAGCUGCCAAUUCCUCAGCGCCCAGGGGGACCUGCACCCAAGGCUCACCCAGGGCCCCCCCAUGUCCACGACUUCCAUGUGGAUCGACCUCUUGAGGAGUCACUGUUGAACCCAGAACUGAUUCGGCCCUUCAUCCCAGAGGGGUGAGAUGCUGGUCCAGGCCUUCCUGCUCGCCCUAGGAGCACCUCUUUCUGAUUUGCCUCCAUGGCCUCCCCACGGCUAUAUAUACCACACCUGGUCCUGCUCCUUAGUGUGCUUGAGGGCUGGGCUCUGGGAGGCAGAACCGUGAGAUGUUCAUCCCAGCAGAGAAAGAGACUCACGUCCUACAGACAAAGCCUCCAGAAACUGCUAGCUGUGUCCUUCUCCAGGGCCACCCCUCAGUGGUGCCACCCGGCCUUAGAGAUGAUUGUCAGGCUCUGUCCCCUCUUCAAGGACAUUGGUACUACAGCACCACCUGGUGGAAGCACAGAGUAUAAGCUGUCUUCAUACCGGGGACACAGCUGGGAAGUCAGACAUGUUUUAGUUUUGGUUCCACUGGGUCAGGAUUUGAGGUUCAUAUAAAAGCCCUGGGUGUUUCUGUCUAAUUGCACCUUGUCUGUUGCUGUUAGGGAAAGGACAAUGGUGGGCCUUGAUUCACAGGGGUCAGGUACUCAGAAGAGGCCUCCUGUGAAGGCCAUUUGGGUCCUCAGGCUUCCCAUGCUAUUCACGGGACUUGAGUGCUCAUUUGGGAGCGAGAGUCCAGAAGCUGAGGCCCAGGGAUGGACAGUCCAGUUCCCGAAGCACACUUCCCACAUGUCGGGUGGGUCAGUCAGUGAGCCUGAGGCUGCCUUGCAGAUGCGGAAGCAGACAUUCCUGGAAUCCACUCAGUAAAUAAAUUCCAGUGUGACUCAG